rnacentral:rRNA from 1 species
UGGUAGUACGGUCGCAAGACCGAAACUUAAAGGAAUUGAUGGGGGCCUGCACAAGCGGUGGAGCAUGUGGUUUAAUUCGAUACAACGCGCAAAACCUUACCCGCCCUUGACAUAUGAACAACAAAACCUAUCCUUAACAGGAUGGUAGUGACUUUCAUACAGGUGCUGCAUGGUUGUCGUCAGCUCGUGUCGUGAGAUGUUUGGUCAAGUCCUAUAACGAGCGAAACCCUCGUUUUGUGUUGCUGAGACAUGCGCCUAAGGAGAAAUUGCCACCGAGUGACGUGCCAGCGCUACUACUUGAUUGAGUGCCAGCACGUAGCUGUGCUUUCAGCGAGAAUUUCACCAUUGGGAGGCGGUGCCUUUCGAAGCACUUUCACGUGUGAACCGAAGUCGUCUUGCCCAAGAACCACGGAGACCUACCUAUAGUGACGUCAAAGUACCAGUGAGCAUGGAGGUUUGGUUGAAAUUGGUUACGACGACGUCGAGUUGGCGGCGGAGGAAGACUCGGCAUGAAGGCCAGAAAAUGGUGUGGGACGUAGUGGUAAUAGUACGCGCCCGCUCUGAACAAAGAAAAAGGUGCGUGCCGCACUCACGAGGGACCGCUAGUGAGAUACUGGAGGAAAGGUGGGGAUGACGUCAAGUCCGCAUGGCCCUUAUGGGCUGGGCCAAACACGUGCUACAAUGACAAUGACAAUGGGAAGCAAGGUGUAAGGCGAAGCGAAUCCGAAAAAAUUGCCUCAGUUCGGAUUGUUCUCAGCAACUCGGGAACAUGAAGUUGAAAUCGUUAGUAAUCACGGAUCAGCAUGCCGCGGUGAAUAUGUACCCGGGCCUUGUAAA